rnacentral:rRNA from 1 species
CUACGAGGGGCUCCAGUGAGGAAUAUUGCACAAUGGGGGGAACCCUGAUGCAGCAACGCCGCGUGGAGGAUGACGCAUUUCGGUGUGUAAACUCCUUUUAUAUGUCAAGAAAAAGACGGUAGCAUAUGAAUAAGCACCGGCUAACUCCGUGCCAGCAGCCGCGGUAAUACGGAGGGUGCAAGCGUUACUCGGAAUCACUGGGCGUAAAGGACGCGUAGGCGGGUUGGAAAGUCAGGUGUGAAAUCCUACAGCUUAACUGUAGAACUGCACUUGAAACUUCUAAUCUAGAGUAUGGGAGGGGGAGAUGGAAUUAGUGGUGUAGGGGUAAAAUCCGUAGAUAUCACUAGGAAUACCUAAAGCGAAGGCGAUCUCCUGGAACAUUACUGACGCUAAGGCGUGAAAGCGUGGGGAGCAAACAGGAUUAGAUACCCUCGUAGUC